AGCGAACGCUGGCGGCAGGCUUAACACAUGCAAGUCGAGCGGGCGUAGCAAUACGUCAGCGGCAGACGGGUGAGUAACGCGUGGGAACAUACCUUUUGGUUCGGAACAACACAGGGAAACUUGUGCUAAUACCGGAUAAGCCCUUACGGGGAAAGAUUUAUCGCCGAAAGAUUGGCCCGCGUCUGAUUAGCUAGUUGGUGAGGUAACGGCUCACCAAGGCGACGAUCAGUAGCUGGCUGAGAGGAUGAUCAGCCACAUUGGGACUGAGACACGGCCCAAACUCCUACGGGAGGCAGCAGUGGGGAAUAUUGGACAAUGGGCGCAAGCCUGAUCCAGCCAUGCCGCGUGAGUGAUGAAGGCCCUAGGGUUGUAAAGCUC
rnacentral:rRNA from 1 species